UACGAAGGGGGCUAGCGUUGCUCGGAAUGACUGGGCGUAAAGGGCGCGUAGGCGGCUUGCACCGUCAGAUGUGAAAUUCCUGGGCUUAACCUGGGGGCUGCAUUUGAUACGUGUGGGCUUGAGUGCGGAAGAGGGUCGUGGAAUUCCCAGUGUAGAGGUGAAAUUCGUAGAUAUUGGGAAGAACACCGGUGGCGAAGGCGGCGACCUGGUCCGUGACUGACGCUGAGGCGCGAAAGCUAGGGGAGCAAACGGG
rnacentral:rRNA from 1 species